UCGGGAAUUUUGGGCAAUGGACGAAAGUCUGACGCAGCAACGCCGCGUGAGGGAUGACGGCCUUCGGGUUGUAAACCUCUUUUAUCAGGGAAGAUCAUGACGGUACCUGAUGAAUAAGUCACGGCUAACUACGUGCCAGCAGCCGCGGUAAUACGUAGGUGACAAGCGUUGUCCGGAUUUACUGGGCGUAAAGAGCGCGCAGGCGGUCGAUCAAGUCGAGUGUGAAAGCCCCCGGCUCAACUGGGGAGGGUCAUUCGAAACUGGUCGACUCGAAGGCAGGAGAGGGUAGUGGAAUUCCCGGUGUAGUGGUGAAAUGCGUAGAUAUCGGGAGGAACACCAGUGGCGAAGGCGACUACCUGGCCUGUUCUUGACGUUGAGGCGCGAAAGCUAGGGGAGCAAACGGGAUUAGAUACCCCGGUAGUCCCUGAGCGGGCUGGCAAGGCGCAU
rnacentral:rRNA from 1 species